UACGAAGGGGGCUAGCGUUGCUCGGAAUCACUGGGCGUAAAGCGCACGUAGGCGGAUUGCUAAGUCAGGGGUGAAAUCCUGGAGCUCAACUCCAGAACUGCCCUUGAUACUGGCGGUCUCGAGUCCGGGGAGAGGUGAGUGGAACUGCGAGUGUAGAGGUGAAAAUUCGUAGAUAUUCGCAAAGAACACCAGUGGCGAAGGCGGCUCACUGGCCCGGUACUGACGCUGAGGUGCG
rnacentral:rRNA from 1 species